rnacentral:lncRNA from 1 species
CUAUUUUCUCCCCUGAAGUAGCUUGAUUUUUCCCCAUGAUAUCAUUUUACUUCCUUAAUUUAUUUGGGUCAUCAGCAGUUUCUAAAGGUUACUUCCCUUAUUCAGUCUUGGGAAAGAGCUGUUCUUUUCAUUUUCUGGGUAAGUGCAGUUAAUAUUUAUAGAUCUCUACAGUAUUCUUUGCAGGGGGCGAGACUCGGGUUAUGCUGGAGGACGGAACAAGCCUUGGGGCAAACAUGAGCCAAGUUGGAUUCACCUUUCCCAGCAGAGUCACAUGGGUAAGCACAAGCGUUAUGAAGAGAGCCCAUACAGCAACUAGUAACAGCAGAUUGAGCAAGGAGGACCCUCAGCCAUUCCUGCAGGGGUUGCUUUGCAACUCCCAUGCUUGGUGUGCCCUGACUGUGUCACUGGGCUGUAGCAGUUGCAGGAUGGCAUCUGGCAUGGAACUGGUGGAAUCACAUGCUAGACACAACAGAACCAUCUUCUGGACAUACCAGAACCACCUGACUGACACGCUGGAACAACCUGCUGGACAUGAUGGAACCACCCUCUGGACAUGCCAGAACCACCACUGGAUAUGCUGCAACCAACCACCAGACACUACUGAUCCACCUGCUGGACAGCACUGAUCCACCCGCCAAACAGGACUGAGCAACCAGUCAGACAUGCAGGAACCAAGUGCCUGACACCCCAGAACCACCGCCCGGACACGCCGGAACCACCUCCUGGAUCCGGUGGAACCAGGUGCCAGACACUGUGAAACCACCUGCCGGAUAUGCCAAAACCAGGUCCCGGAGAUGCCAGAACCACCUGCUGGACAAUCCUGAACCACCUGCCAGACAUGCCAGAACAACCUGCCAGACACACGGAAAUCACCUGCCAGAUAUGCCAGAACCAGGUCCUGAAUACACCGGAACCAACUUCUGCACCAGCCGGAAAAACUUGCUGUACAUGCCAAAAUCACCUGCCUAAAACGCCAUAACCACUACCCAGACAUGCUGAAACCACGACCCGACAUGACGGAAUCAGGUGCUGGACACGCUAUAGACACCUGCUGGACAUGCUGGAUUCACCUGUCAGACAUGCAGGAACCAACUGCCAGACACCCCAGAAGCAACCACUGAACACAUCAGAAUGACCACACAGACACACCGGAACCACUAGCCACACAGUCUUUUAGCCAACUGCUGGACGUGCCGGAAGCACUCACCAGAAACACCGGAACCACCUCCUGAACAUAACAGAACCACAUUCCAGACACACCUUAACCACAUGCCAGACACACCGGAACCACUUGUUGGAUAUGCCAGAACCAGGUGCCAGAUUCACUGAAACCACCUGCCAAAUAUGUCAGAACCAGGUACCAGACAUGGCAAAACCUGGUGCCCUAAGUCCAGAACCACCUGCUGGACAUGCCUGAACCACCUGCCAGACUUGCAUGAACCAUCUGCCAGACACACAGGAAUCAUCUGCUGGAUAUGCUAGAAAUAGAUGUCACACACGCUGAAACCAGGUGCCAGACAUGACUGAACCACCUGCCUGACAUGCUGGAACCACCUGAAUGACACACAGGUACCACUGUCCAGACAUGCUGGAACCAGGUGCUGGACACGACUGAACCAAAUAACGGACAAGCCUGAACCACCUGCUGGACAUGCCAUAACCACCUUCAGGAUGCGCUGGAACCAUCUGGUGGACAUGCCAGAAUGACCUGCCAAACACGCCAGAGCCAGGUGCCGGACAAGCUGGAACUGCCUGCUUGACGCGCCAGAACCCAGGGCCAGACAUACUCAAAGGAAAUGUCGGACAUGCCGAACCACUUGCCGGAAACACCCGGACAACAUGCCGAACACCCCGCCGAACACCCCCAAAGCACCUUCCGGACAGGCCUGAAUCAGAUGCUGGACACACCCAAACCAUCCUUUGGACACAUCAGAACCACGUUUCAGAAGUGCCUGGACCACGGGAUGGCCAUGCCUGGACCAUGUGCCAGAUGCACCUGGACCAGCUGACAGACAAGCCUGAAAAACCUGCUGGACAUGCCAGAACUACCCACCAGACAUACUGGAACCAUCCACUGGAAACGCCUGAACCACCUGCAUGACACGCUGGAACCAACUGCGGGACACAUCAGAACCAUCACCCAGAAACUCUGCAACCACGCCCAGAGACACCAGAAUUGGGUCCCAGACACACAGGAAGCACAUGCCAGACAUGCUGGGACCACCUGCAGGAACCGCUGGAAUCACCCGCCAGACAUGAUGGACUCACAUUCCAGAAACGCUGGAACCACCUGCUGGAUACAACAGAAACAGGUGUCCCACACACCAAAACCACAUUCCACUCAUGACAGAACCACCUCUGGACAUGCUGGAGCCACCUGCCAGAUACACCAGAACAGGUACACACAUGCCGGAACCAGGUGCUGGAAAGGACUGAACCAACUGCCAGACAAGCCUGAACCACCUGCUCGACAGGACUGAUCCACAUGCUGGACAGCACUGAUCCACCCUCCAAACACUUCUGAAUCACCACCUGGACACGCCAGAACCAUCUGCCUGACACCCCGGAACCAGGACCUGGACACCGUGAAACCACCUGCUGGAUACACCAGAAACACAUGCCUGAAAUGCCAGAUCCACCUGCCGGACAAGCCGGAAUCACCUGCCAGACAUGCCAAUAUCACCUGCCGAAUACACCAGAACCAGGUACUGGAUAUGCCAGAACCAACUUCCUGACAGGCUGGAAAAACCUGCCAGACAAGCUGGAACCACCACCCGGACUUGCCGAAACCACCAACCACACACAACGGAAUCAGGUCCCGGACAGGCGAGAAUCACCAGUCGGACAUGCGGGAACCAACUGCUAGACGCCCCAGAAGCAACCACUGGAUACGUCAGAACCACCUUCCGGACAUACCAGAAACUCAUUCAAGACACAUGUGAAACCCCUUGCCUGACACGCUGGAACCACCUGAAUGACAUGCUGGUACCACUGUCCAGACCUGCUGGAAAUACCUGUCAGACAAACUGAACCACCUGCCAGACAAGACUGAACCACUUUAUGGACAUUCUGGAAGCACAUGCCGGGCAUGCUGGAACCAGGUGCCUGACAUGCCAGAACCACCUGCUGGACAUGCCUGAGCCACCUGCCAGACUUGCGUGAACCACUUGCUAGACAUGCAGGAACCACCUGCUGGAUACAUCAGAAAAUGGUGUCUCACACACUGAAAUCAGGUGCUGGACAUGACUGAACCACCUGCUGGAUACGCUGGCGCCACCUACCAGAUACACCAGAAACAAGUGUCGCACAUGCCAGAACCAGGUGCUGGACAAGACUGAACCACCUGCCGGACAAGCCUGAGCCACCAGCCAGCCAUGCUGUAACCACCUUCAGGAUGCGCUGGAACCAUCACGUGGACAUGCCGGAACCACCUACUGGAAGCACCAGAACCAGGAACCUAUAUGCAGGGAAACCUGCCAGACAUUCUGGAACCAGAAGCUGGACACACUGGAACAACCAGACAUGCCAGAACCACCCUCAAGACACGCCAGAACCAAUGGCCGGACACACCAGAAGCACCCACCCAACACGCCCAACCACCUUCUGAACAUACCAGAACCACAUGCCAAACUCGCCGGAACCACGGGUUGGAUAUGCCAGAACGAGGUGCUGGAUACACUGAAACCACCUGCCGAAAAUGCCAAAACCAGUUGCCAGACACGGCUGAAAAACCUGCCGGCCACCUCCAAAUCACCUGCUGGAUAUGCUGAAACCAUCUGCCGGACACACUGGAACCACCUCUUGGACAUGCCGAAACCAUCUGCCAGACACGCCAGAAACAGGUCCAGCACAGGCCAGAACCAGGUGCUGGACAAGCCUGAAGCAGCUGCUGGACUAGCCUGAGCCACCUGCUGGACCAGCCAGGACCACUUUAUGGACAUUCUGGAACCACAUGCCGGGCAUGCUGGAACCAGGUGCCUGACACGCCAGAACCACCUGCUGGACACGCCAGAACCACCAGCCAGCCUUGCGUGAAACACCUGCCAGACACGCCAGAACAACCUGCUAUAUCCACCAGAAACAGGUGUCACACAGACAGAAACAAGGUGCUGGACACAACUGAACCACCUGCCGGACAUGCUGGAGCCAACUGCCAGAAAUGACAGAAACAGGUGUCGCACAUGCCAGAAGCAGGUGCUGGACACGAUUGAACCACCUGCAGAACAAGACUGAACCACCUACUGGACAUGACUGAACCACCUGCAGGACAUGCCGUAACCACCUUCAGGAAACUCCAGAACCAUCUGGUGGCCAUGCCGGAAUGACCUGCCGAACAUGCUGGAACCACUUGCUGGACAGCCCCGGACCACCCACCAGACACCCCCAAAGCACCUCCAGGAAAUGCCUGAACCACCUGCCUCACACACUGGAACCACCUGCAGGAACCGCCAGAAUUGGAUUGAUGGUUUCGGCAUGUCUGGGUGGUGGUUCCGGCUUGUCUGGCAGGUUUUUCCAGCACCUGGUUCCAGUGUAUGUGGCAGGUGAUUUUGGCGUGCCCGGCAGUUUGUUCUGGCGUGUCAAGCAGGUGGUUCUGGCUUGUCCAGCAAGUGGUUCUGUCGUGUCCGGUACCUGGUUCUGGCGUAUCCCUCAGGUGGUUUCAUGGUGUCCCGCACCUGGUUCCGCCAAAUCUGACAGGUAGUUCCAGAGUCUCCAAAAGGUGGUUCCAUCGUAUCCGGUGGGUGAUUCUGGCAGUUCCCAAAUGUGGUUCCAGCGUGUCUGGCAGGUGCUUCCGGCGUGUCCAGGACCUGAUUCUGGUUUCUCUGGUGGGUUGUUCAAGAGCGUCCAGGUGGUGGUUCUGAGGUUUCCAGCAGUUAGUUCCAGCGUGUCAGGCAGGUGGUUCAGGCAUUUCUGGUGGAUGGUUCCAGUAUGUCCGGUGGGUAGUUCUGGCGUGUCUGGCUGAUUGUUCAGGUGUGUCUGUCAGCUGGUCCAGGUGCACCCGGCACAUGGUUCAGGCAUGACCAUCUCAUGGCACAGGCAUUUCUGAAACGUGGUUCUGACGAGUCCAAAUGGUGAUUUGGGUGUGUCUGGCAGCUGAUUCAGGCCUCUCUGGGAGAUGCUUUGGUGGUGUCCUGCAGGUGGUCCGGGUGUGUCCAGCGUGUCCUUCCAGUGAGUCUGCCCUGUCAUUCUGGCAUGUCCAGCCGGUGGUUCUGGCGUGUCCAGAACCUGGUUCCUGCAUGUUCAGUAGGUGGUUCCGGCAUGUCCACCAGAUGGUUGCGGCACAUCCGGAAGGUGGUUGUGGCAUGUCCACAAUGUGGUUCAGGCAUGUCCAGCAGGUGGUUCAGGCCUGUCCGGAAGGUGGUUCCAGCAUAUCCGGCAUGUGGUUCCGGAGUGUCCAUCAAGUGGUUCGGGCAUUUCCGGCAGGUGGUUCAGUCUUGUCUGGCAGGUAGUUCAGUUUUCUCUGGCAGGUGGUUACAGCAUGUCUGGCUGGUGGUACAGACGUGUCAUUCAGGUGGUUUUGGUGUGACAGGCAGGGGGUUCCUGUGUGUCUGGCAUGAGUUUCUGGUAUGUCCAGAAGGAGGUUCUGACAUGUCUGGUGGGUUCUUCUGGGGUAUCUGGCAGUGGGUUCCCGCAUGUCCAGAGGGUGAUUCUGGCGUGUUGGGACCUGAUUCUGUCGCUUUGGGUUAGUGGUAUCCGCGUGUCCGUGUGGUGGUUCCAGCAUGUCUGACAGGUUUUUCCGGCCUGUCCAGAAGUUGGUUCUGGCAUAUCCAGGCCCUGGUUCUGGUCUAUCCAGCAGGUGAUUUUGGCAUGUCUGGCAGGUUGUUCCAGUGUGUUAGGCAGGUGGUUCUGGCUUGUCUGGCAGGUGUUUCUGGCAUGUCCAGCACCUGGUUCUGGCAUAUCCAACAGGUGGUUCUAGCGUGUCUGGCAGGUGGUUGCUUUGUGUCUGGCAUGUGGUUCUGGUACAUUCGGAAGAUGGUUUAGGUGUGUCUGGUGGGUGCUUCCGACAUGUCCGUGAGUUGAUUCCAGCAUGUCUGGCAGGUCUUUCCGGCAUGUCUGAGUGGUGGUUCCAGUGUGUCUGACAGGUUGUUACAGGUGGUUCUGGCGUGUGCAGUGGGUGCUUCCAGCGUGUCUGGCGGGUGGUUCUGGCGUGUCUGUGUGGUGGUUCCAGUUUGUCCGGUGGGUGGUUCCGACAUGUCUGGUGGGUUGUUCCAGAAUAUAAGGGGCCUUGUUCGAGCUUAUCCGGCAGGUGAUUUCAGCAUGUCUGGCAGGUGGUUCCAGCAAGUCAAGCAGGUGGUUCUGGUGUGCUUGGCAGGUGGAUCAGGCAUGUCCAGCAGGUGGUUCUGGCCUGUCCGGAAGGUGGUUCUGGCGUGUCUGGUACCUGGUUCUGGCAUAUCUGACAGGUGGUUCUGGUGUGCCCAGCAUGUGGUUCCUGUGUGUCUGUCAAGUGGUUCAGGCAUAUCCAGCAGGUAGUUCAGUCUUGUCUGGCAGGUCAUUCAGUUUUGUCCAGCAGCUGGUUCCGGCAUGUCUGGCCAGUGGUACCAGCAUGUCAUUCAGGUGGUUCCAGCAUGUCCAGCUGGUUCUUCUAGCAUUUCUGGGCCCUGAUUCUGGCUUCUCCAGCAGCUGGUUCCAGAGUGUCUGGGUGGUGGUUCUGACGUGUCUGGCAGUUGGUUCCAGCAUGUCAGGAAGGUGGUUCAGGUGUUUCAGUUGGAUGGUUCCGGUGUGUCAGGCAGGUAGUUCCAGUGUGUCCGGCAUGUUGUUCAGGCAUGUCUGUCAGUUGGUCCAGGUGCAUCCGGCACAUGGUCAAUGCAUGGCACUUCUUUGGUCCAGAUAUUUCUGAAAUGUGGUUAUGAGGUGUCUGAAAGGUGGUUUGGGCUUGUCCAGCAGCUGAUUCAGGCCUCUCCGGGCAGGGCUUUGGGGGUGUCCAGCAGGUGGUCCGGGUUGAUCUGGCAAGUGGUUCCAGCAUGUCCAGGGUGUCCUUCCAGUAUGUCUGGCCUGUGGUUCCGGCAUGUCCACCAGGUGAUUCUGAUGUGUCUGGCACCUGGCUCCAGUAUGUUCGGAAGGUGAUUCUACCAUGUCCAAAAGAUGGUUCUGCCACAUCCUGAAGGUGGUCAUGGCAUGUCUGGCAGGUGGUUCAGUUGUGCCCAGCAGGUGGUGAAGGCUGGUCACGCAGGUGGUUCAGUCGUGUUCAGCACCUGUUUUCAGAGUGUCCGAACCUCUUUUUGGUGUAUCAUGAAGGUGGUUCCAGUGUGUCCGGCAGAUGGUUCAUGCAAGUCUGGCAGGUGGUUCAGGCAUGUCCAGCAGGUGGUUCUGGCGUGUCAGUCACCUGUUUCCGGCGUUCCCAGCAUGUGGUUCUGGAAUGUCCGUAAAGUGGUUCAGGCUGGUCCAGCAGGAGGUUCAGGCUAUUGUGGCAGCUGCUUCAGGCUUGACCGGCACCUGGUUCUGGCCUGUGCUGGACGUGUUUCUGGUGUAUCUGGCAGAUGCUUCCAGCAUGUCCGGGAGGUGGUUCCGGUGUGUCCGAGACAUGGUUUUGGCAUAUCUGACAGGUGAUGUGGACAUGUCUGGCACGUGUUUCCGCCAUGUCCGGCACCUGGUUCUGGCACAUUCGGCAGGUUUGUUCAGUGUAUCUGGCACCUGGUUCCAGCAUAUCCAACAGGUGGUUCCACUGUGUCUGUUAGGUGGUUCCUGUGUGUCUGGCAUGUGGUUCUGGUACGUUCGGAAGGUGGUUCUGGUAUGUUUCGUGGCUGCUUCCCUUGUGACCAGCAUUUGGUUCCUGCAUGUCUCAUGGUUGGUUCCGUCGUGUCUGAGUGGUGGUUCCAGUGUGUCCGGUGGGUGGUUCCAGCAUGUCUGGUGGGUUGUUCAGGCAGAUAAGUGGCCAGGUUCUGGCAUAUCCAGCAGGUGAUUUCAGUGUAUCCCACAGGUGGUUCCGGAGAGUCAAACAGGUCAUUGUGGUGUGUCCGGCAGGUGGUUCGCGCAUGUCCAGCAGGUGGUUCAUGACUGUCUGAAAGGUGGUUCUGGCGUCUCUGGCACCUGGUUUUGGCAUAUCUGACAGGUGUCUCCAGCAUGCCUGUCAUGUGGUUCCAGAGUGUCCGUCAUGUCAUUCAAGCAUAUCUGGCAGGUGGUUUAGUCUUGUGUGGCAGGUGUUUCAGCUUUGUCUGUCAGGUGGUUCUAGGAUGUCCUGCCAGUGGUACGGGCAUGUCAUUCAGGUGGUUUCAGCAUGUCCAGCAGGGGGUUCCUGUGUGUCUGUCAUGUGUUUCCAGUACGUCUGCAAGGUGGCUCUGACCUGUCUGUUGGGUGCAUCUGGGUGUCUGGCAGUUGGCUCCCAAAUGUCUGGCACAUCAUUCCGGUGUGUCCGGCAUGUGGCUACGGUUUGUCCUGGACCUGAUUCGGUCGUGUCAGGUUGGUAGUUUUGGUGUGCCUGGGUGGUGGUUCCAGCAUGACCAGCAGGUUUUUCCAAACUGUCUGGAAGUUGGUUCUGGCAUAUCCAGGACCUGGUUCCGGUGUAUCUGGCAGGUGAUUUCGGCAUGUCCAGCAGGUUAUUCUGGCCUGCCUGGCAGGUGUUUCUGGCUUCUCUGGCAGGUGGUUCUGGUGUGUCCGGCACCUGGUUCCACUGUAUCUGACAGGUGCUUCCAGCGUGUCUGGCAGGUGGUUUCAGAAUGUCAGGCAGGGGGUUCCUGUGUUUCUUGCAUGAGUUUCCGGUAUGUCCAGAAGGUGGUUCUGGCAUGUCCUGUGGGUGCUUCUGGCAUGUCCAGAAGUUGGUUCCCACAUUUCUGGCAGGUGAGUCCGGCAUGUCUAGCAGGUGGCUAUGGCGUGUCCAGAACCUGAUUCCGUCGGGACUGGUUGGUGGGUUUUGCGUGUAUGGGUGGUGGUUCUGUCCUCUCGAGCAGGUGGUUCUGGCAUGUCAGUCAGGUGGUUUCAUCAUGUCCUGCAGAUGCUUCCAGCAUGUCCUGGACCUGAUUCUUGCAUCUCCGGUGGGUGGUUCCAGAGUGUCUGGAUGGUGGUUCCAACAUGUCCAGCUGUUGGUUCGGGCGUGUCAGGCAGGUGGUUCAUGCAUGUCUGGUGGGUGGUUCUGGCAUCUGCAACAGAUGGCUCCGGCGCAUCUGGAAGGUGGUUUCAGCAUGUCUGGCAGGUGGUUCAGGCCUCUCCAGCAGAUGGUUCAGUCUUGUCCCACAGGUAAUUCAGCAGUGUGGGGCACCUGGUUCCAGUAUGUGCUGCACCUGUUUCUGAUGUAUCUGGCAGGUGGUUCUGGUGUGUCUGGCAUGUGGUUCCAUCACGUCUGGCACAUGGUUCCAGGGUGUCAUGCAGGCAAUUUCAAUGUGUCCGGUGGGUUGUUCCAGUGUGUCUGGCACCUGGUUCUGGCAUGUCUAACAGGUAGUUUCUGCGAAUCAGGAAUCUGGUUCCGGCCUAUCCAACAGAUGGUUCCAGUGUGUCUGGUAGGCGGUUCUGGAGUGUCCGGUACAUGGUUCCAGUGUAUCCAGGAGGUGAUUUUGAUGUGUCCGUCAGGUGGUUUUAGCAUGUCCAACACCUGGUUCCAUUGUAUCUGACAGUUGGUUCUGGAGUGUCCGGCAUGUGGUUCCGGGGUGUCUGGCAGGUGGUUCCAGCUUUUCUGGAAGGUGGUUCUGGCAUAUCUGACACCCGGUUCUGUGUAUCCGGCAGGUGCUUUCAUGGUAUCUGGCUCCUGGUUCUCCCAUAUCUGACAGCUGGUUCCAGCAUGUCUGCCAGGUGAUUCCAGGGUGUCAGGCAGUUGGAUCUGGCAUGUCCAGCCAGUGGUUAAGCCAUGUUUGGCAAGUGGAUCAGUGCAGUCCAGCAGGUGGAACAGUGGUGUCUGGCAGUUGGUUGCAGGACAUCUGGGGGUGGUUCCGGCCUGUCCAGAGCUGGUUCUGUCAUGUCGGGCAGGUGGUUCGAGCGUGUCUGUCACAUGGUUCCUGUGUGUCAGGAAUGUGGUUCUGUCAUGUCCAUAAAGUGGUUCAGGUUGGCAAAGAAGCUGGUCAGUUCUGACUUCUCUGGCAGUUGGUUCUGGCAUGUCCAGCACCUGGUUCUGGCGUAUCCGCCGGGUGGUUUCACAGUGUCUGGCACCUGUUUGAGCUGUAUCUGAGAGCUGGUUCUGGCAUUUCUGGCAGGUGGAUCCGGGGUGUCAGGCAGGUGGUUCCAGCAUGUCCAGGCAGUGGCUCAGGAAUGUUUGGCGGGUGGAUCAGUGCUGUCUUGCAGGUGGGUCAGUCAUGUCCAGUGGUUGGUUGCAACAUAUGCGGGAGUGGUUCCAGCAUGUCCAGAAGUUGGUUCCAUCAUGUCUGGCUGGUGGUUCCGGCAUGUCAGUCAUGUGGUUCCAGCGUGUUCAGCAGGUGGUUCACGCAAGUCUGGCAGGUGGUUCAGGUGUGUCCUGGAGGUGGUUCUGGUGUGUCCAGCACCUGGUUUUGGCCUGCCUGGCAUGUGGUUCCAGAAUGUCUGUAUAGUGUUUCAGGUUGCUCCAGUAGGUGUUUCAGGCUUGUCCAGCAGCUGCUUCAGGCAUGUCCAACACCUGGUUCCAGCCUGUGCUGGACCUGUUUCUGCUGUAUCUGGCAGAUGGUUCCAGCUGUCCGAAGGUGGUUCCAGAGUGCCCAGAACAUGGUUUUGGCGUAUCUGACAGGUGAUUUGGAUGUUUGGCAGGUGUUUCCAGCAUGUCCGGCACCUGAUUCUGGUGUUUUUGGCAGGUGGUUUCAGUGUAUCUGGCACCUGGUUCUGGAGUAUCCAACAGGUGGUUCUGGCAUGUCUGGCAGGUUGUUUCUGUGUGUCUGGCAUGUCAUUCAGGUACAUUCAGAAGGUGGUUCCAUUGUGUGCUGUGUGUGCUUCCGACAUGUCAUGCACUGGUUCAGGUGUGUCUGGUGGGUGAUUCUGUCGUGUCCAGCAGGUGGUCACAGAGCAUCUGGCAGUUGGUUGCACCAUGUCCCAGACCUGAUUCUGGUGUGUGUGGAACAUUGCUCUGGUGUGUCAGUGGUGGUUCCAGUGUUUCUGGCAGUUGGUUCCAGCAUGUCUGGUGGGUGGUCCUGGCAUAUAAGGAGCCUGGUUCCAGUGUAUCCAGCAGGUGAUUUUGGCAUGUCCAAUAUAUGGUUCUUGCAAGUCAAGCAGGUGUUUCUGGCGAGUCAAGCAGGUGCUUCUGGCAUGUUGGGCAGGUGGUUCAGGUGUUCCCAGCAGGUGUUUCAGGCCUGUCCAUAAGGUGGCUCUGGCAUGUUCAGCAGUUGGUUCCAGCAUGUCAGGCAGGUGGUUCAUGCGUUUCCAGUGGAUGGUUCCGGUAUGUCCGUCGGGUAGUUCCGGCAUGUCUGGCAGGGUGUUCAGACGUAUCUGUCAGUUGGUCCAGUUGCAUCUGGCACACAGUCCAGGCAUGGUCAGCCCGUGGUCCAGUCACUUCUGAAAUGUGGAUCUGACAUGUCCAAUAUGUGGACCGGCAUGUCUGGCACCUGAUUCAGGCCUCUUCAAGAGGUGCUUUGGGGUUGUCCAGCAGGUGGUCUGGGUGUUUCUGGCAAUAGACUCCAGAAUGUCCAGCAUGUCCUACCAGUAUGUCUGGCCUAUGGUUCUGGCAUUUCCAGCAGGCAGUUCCUGUGUAUCUUACACCUGGCUCUGGCGUGUUCAGCAGGUGGUUCUGGCAUGUCCACCAGAGGAUUCCAGCGUGUCCCGAAGGUGGCUAUGGCAUAUCUGGCAGGUGUUUCAGUUCUGUCCAGCACCUGGUUCUGGCAUGUGUGACACCUGUUUCUGGCAUAUCAGGCAGGUGGCUCCAUCGUGUCUGGCAGGUGUUUCACAGAAUUCUGGCAGGUGGUUCAGGCAGCAGGUGGGACUGGCAUGUCAGGCACCUCAUUCCAGUGUGGCAGGCAUGUGGCUCCGGAAUAUGAGACUAACUGUCAGACACACCAGAACUACCUUCCAGACAUGCCUGAACCACCAGCUGGACAUGACACAACCACCUGCUUGUCUUGCCAGAACACCCUGACGGACAUGCUGAAAUCACCUGACUGAUGUGUUGGAACCACUGAUCAGAUAUGGCAGAACCGGGUGCCAGACACUGUGAAACCAUCUGCUGGAUACCCCAGAACAAGGUGCCAGACAUGCCAGAACCACCUGCUGGACACGACAGAAACUCAUGCCAGACAAAACUGAACCACCUGCCAGACAAGACUGAACCACCUGCCGGACACUCGGGAACCACGUGCCAGGAACACUGGAACCACCUGUUAGAUAUGCCAGAACCAGGUGGCAGACUUGCUGCAACCACCUGCUUGACUUGCCAGAACACCUGACAGACAUGCCAAAAUCACCUACUGGACACACCAGAACCACCACCCGAACACGCUGAAACCACCAACCUGACAUGACAGAAUCAGGUCCCAGACACGAUGGCAUCACCCUCCAGACAUGCAGGAACCAACUGCCAGAAACCCCAGAAGCACCCACCAGACAAGUCGGAACCACCUUCCAGACAUACCAGAAACUCAUGUCAGACACACAGGAACCCCCUGCCUGGCAUGCUGGAGCCACCUGAAUGACACACCAGUACCACUGGCUGGACAUGCCAGUAUCACUUCCCAGACAAAGCUGAACCACCUGCCAGAAAAGACUGAACCUCCUGCUGGAUUCACCUGAACCACUUGAUGGACAAUCUGGAACCACAUGCCAUGCAUGCCAGAACCACAUGUCAGGUAUGCCAGAACCAGGAGCCAGACUCACCUAAACCACCUUCUGGACAGGCCUGAACCACCUGCUGGACAUGCCUGAACCACCUGCCAGACACGCCGAUACCACCUGUUUGACUCACUGGAACCACCUGCUGGACACGCCAAAAUCACCAUCCAGAUAUGCCGGAACAAGGCCCCUUAUACUCCAGAACAACCCAAAACACAUGCCAGAACCACUCACUGGACACACUGGAACCACCACUCAGACACGCCAGAAGCACCCAUAGGACACACUGGAAUCAACUGCUGGACAUGCCGGAAGCACCCACCAGACACACUGAAACCACCUUCACAAGGUAACAGAACCACAUACCAGACACACCUGAACCACCUGCCAGAUGCACUGGAACCACCUGUUGGAUAUGCUGGAACCAGGUGGCAGAUACAUUGAAACUACCUGCUGAAUAUGCCAGAACCAGGUGAUGGACACACCAGAACCAUCUGCCAGACAAGCCAGAGCCACUUCCCAGACAGGCUGGAACAACCUGCAGGACACACCAAAAUCUCCUGCCAGAUACCCCGGAACCAGGUCCUGGAUAUGCCAGAACCAACUUCCAGACAAGCCAGAAAAACCUUCCAGAAACACUGGAACCACCAAAUGGACAUGCCGAACCCACCAACCAUACAUAAUGGAAUCAGGUCAUGGACACACUGUAGCCUCCUGCUAGACAGGCCGGCGUCACCUGCCGGACAUGAGGGAACCAAUGGCCAGACACCCCAGAAGCACCCACCGGACACGUUGGAACCACCUUCUGGACAUACUGGAAACUCAUGCCAGACUCUCAGGAACCCCCUUCCUGACACAUUGGAACCACCUAAAUGACACGUUGGUACUACUGGCUGGACAUGCCGGAACCACCUGCCAGACAAAAUUGAACCACCUGCCAGAUAAGACUGAAGCACCUGCUGGAUAUACCUGAACCACUUGAUGGACACUCCAGAACCACAUGCUGGGCAAGUGGGAACCACCUGUCAGAUAUGCCAGAACCAGAUGCCAGACACACAAGAAAGAGGUCCAGCACAGGCUGCAACCAGGUGCCAGAGAAGUCUGAAGCAGCUGCCGGACUACCUGAAACAACUGCUCUACAAGCAGGAACCACUUUACAGACAUUCCCGAAAUACAUGCUGGGCACACUGGGACCAGGUGAGCGAUGCCAGAACCACCUGCUGGACAUGCUGGAGCCACAAGCCAGAUAUACCAGAGACAGGUGUCACACACGAAGCGAACCAGGUGUUGGACACAAUUGAACCACCUGCCAGACAAGUCUGAACCACCUGCUAGACUCAACUGCACCACCUGCUGGACACACUGGGACAACAUUCAGGAUGCAUGAAACCAUCUGGUGGACAUGCCAGAACCACCUUCAGGACACAUCGAAACCACCUGCUGCACAUGCCUGAACCACGUGCUGGACCCACUGCAACCACCUGUUUGACUUGCUGGAACCACCAGCCAGACACACCAAAAUCACCUGCCAGAUACGCCAGAACCAGGCCCCUUAUAUGCUGAAUAAACCCGCCAGAUAUGCCAGAAGCACCCACCGGACAAACUGGAACCACCACUCAGACACGCUGGAACCAUCCGCCCAACACACAGGAACCAAAUGCUGGACAUGCCAGAAGCACCCAACGUACAUGCUGGAAACACCUUCCGAACAUACCAGAACCACAUGCCAGACACACAGGAACCACCUGCCAGACAUGGCGGGACCACCUGUUGGAUAUGCCCUAACCAGGUGCCAUAUACACUGAAACCACCUGCUGAAUACACCAGAACCAGGUGCUGGACAUGGUGGAAACACCUGCCAGACACAUACAAAUCACUUGUCGGAUAUGCUGAAAGCAUGUGCUGGACAUGCCAGAACCACAUCCUGGACACGCUGGAACCAUCUGCCGGAUACACCAGAAACAGGUCCCACACAGUCCAGAACCAGGUGCUGGACAAGCCUGAAGCAGCUGCUGGACUAGCCUGAACCACCUGCUGGACCAGCCUGAACCACUUUAAGGACAUUCUGGGACCACAUGCUGGGCACACUGUAACCAGGUGCCCAACAUGCCAGAACCACCUGCUGGACACGCCUGACACACCUGCCAGGCUUGCAUGAACCACCUUCUGGACACGCCAGAACCACCUGUCGGAUACAACAGAAACAGGUGUUGCACAUGUCAAAACCAUGUGCUGGACAUGCCUGAACCACCUGCCAGACUUGCAUGAACCAACUGCUGGACAUGCUGGAACCAACUGCCAGAUAUGCCAGAAACAGGUGCUGCACACACCAGAACCAGGUGCUGGACAUGACUGAACCAACUGCCAGACAAGCCUGAACCACCUGCUGGACAUGACUGAACUAUCUACUGGACACCCCAGAACUAGCUUCAGGAUGUGCCGGAACCAUCUGGUGGAAAAUCUGGAAGAACCUGCCGAACAUGCUGGAACCAGGUGCCUGACACACCGGAACCGCCUGCUGGACACCCCCAAAGCACCUCACAUAGAGGCCUGAAUCAGAUGCCAGACACGUCCAAACCACCUUUUGGACACAUCAGAACCACGUUUCAGAAAUGCCUGGACCACAGGACGGCCAUGCCAGGACCAUGUGCUGCAUGCAACUGGACCAGCUGACAGACAUGCAUGAACAACCUGCCAAACACACCAGAACUACCCGCCAGACAUAAUGGAACCAUCCACCGGAAACACCUGAACCACCUGCCUGACAUGCUGGAACCAACUGCCGGACACAUUGGAACCACCACCCGGACAUUCUGGAACCAUGCACUGGACAUGCCAGAAUUAGGUCCUGGACAUGCCAGAAGCACCUGCCAGACACGCUGGAACCACAUGCGGGAACCAGCAGAAUCACCUGCCAGGACACAACAGAACCACCUUCCAGACACGCCGGAACCACCUGACUGACAUGGCGGAACCACCUUCUGGACACGCUGGAACCACCCCCAGAUAUGCUGCAACUGACUGCCAGACAUGGCUUAACCACUGGCUGGACACACUGGAACCAUCUGCCUGACAGCCCGGAAACACCUGACAGACACACUGGAACCACCUGUCGGAUAUGGCGGACCCAGGUCCCGGACACCGUGAAACCACCUGCCGCAUAUGCCAGAACCACCUGCUGGGCAAGCUGGAACCACCUGCCAGACAUGCUGGAACAACCUGAUGGACAAGCCAAAAUCACCAGCCAGACUUGCAUGAAAUACCUGCUGGACAUGCCAGAACCACCUACCGGAUAUGCUAGAAACAGGUGUCGCACAUGAGGGAAGCAGGUGCUGGACACGACUGAACCACCUGUUCCACAAGGCUGAACGACCUGCUGAACAUGACUGAACCACUUGCUGGAUAUGCCAUAACCACCUUCAGGACUCAUCAGAACCAUCUGGUGGACAUGCCAGAACGACCUGCCGAACAAGCCAGAGCCACGUGCUGGACAUGCUAGUACUGCCUGCUGAACAUGCCGGAACCACAGGCCAGACAUACUGGAAGAACACGCUGGACAUGCCAGAACCACUUGCCAAACACACCCGGACCACCCGCCAGACACCCCCAAAUCACCUCCCAGAAACGCCUGAACCACCUGCCUGACAUGCUGGAACCAACUGCGGGACAUGUCGGAACAACCACAAGGAUACUCUGGAACCACCCACCAGAGAUGGCUGAAUCAGGUCUCGGCAGGCCGAAAGGACCAGCUGGACAUGCUGGAACCACCUGUGGAACCGCCAGAAUCGUGUUGGUGGUUUUGGUGUGUCCAGGUGGUGGUUCCAGCGUGUCUGGCAGGUUUUUCCAGGACCUGGUUCCGGCAUACGCGGCAGGUGAUUUUGGCGUGUCCAACAGGUUGUUUUGGUGUGUCAGGCAGGUGGUUCCGGUUUGGCCAGCAGGUAGUUCUGUUGUAUCCAGCACCUGGUUCUGGCAUAUCUGACAGGUUGUUGCAUGGUGUCUGGCACCUGGUUCCACCAAAUCUGACAGGUGGUUCUGGCGUGGUCGGAAGGUGGUUCAGUUGUAUCCAGUGGGUGAUUCCGGUGCUUCCCCAAGGUGGCUCCAGCAUGUCCAGCAGGUGCUUCCAGCAUGCCUGGGACCUGUUUCUGGUGUCUCUGGCGGGUCAUUCCAGAGUGUCCAGGUGGUGGUUCCAAUGUUUCCGGCAGUUAGUUCCAGCAUGUAAGGCAGGUAGUUCAGGCAUUUCCUGUGGAUGGUUCUAGUAUAUCCGGCAGGUAGUUCCAGCAUGUCUGGCUGGUUGUUCAGGCGUGUCUGUCAGCUGGUCCACCUGCAUCCGGCACAUGGUCCAGGCAUACCCAUCCCGUGGUACAGGCAUUUCUGAAACGUGGUCCUGACGUGUCUGAAUGGUGGUUUGGGUGUGUUCAGUAGCUGCUACAGGCCUCUCUGGGAGGUGCUUUGGUGGUCCAGGUGUGUCUGUCAAGUGGUUCCGGCAUGUCCAGGGUGUCCUUCCAGUAUGUCUGGCCUGUGGUUCCAGCAUGCCGAGCAGGUGGUUGCAGCGUCUGGCACCUGGUUCCAGCAUGUUCGGCAGGUGGUUCCAGCAUGUCCACCACAUGGUUCCUUCGAAUCCAGAAGGUGGUUGGGGCGUGUCCACCAGGUGGUUCAGUCGUGCCCAGCAGGUGUUUCAGGCGUGUCUGGAAGGUGGUUCCAGCAUAUCUGGCAUGUGAUUUCGGUGUGUCUGGCAGGUUGUUUCGGAGUGUUAGGCAGGUGGUUACGGCUUGUCUGGCAGGUGUCUGGCGUGUGGUUCUGGUACAUCCAGAACGUGGGUCUGGCGUGUCCUGUGGCUGCUUCCGGCAUGUCCAGCAGUUGGUUCUGGCGUGUGUGGCUGGUGGUUCUGGAGUGUCUGAGUGUUGGUUCCAGUGUGUCCGGGGGGUGGUUCUGGCAUGUCUGUUGGGUUGUUCCAUCGUAUAAGGGGCCUGGUUCUGACGUAUCUGUCAGGUGAUUUCUGCAUGUGUGGCAGGUGGUUCCGGCAAGUCAAGCCUGUGGUUCCAGCGUGUUUGGCAGGUGGUUCAGACCUGUCUGGAAGGUGAUUCCGGCAAGUCCAGCAUCUGGUUCUGGCAUAUCUGACAGGUGGUUCCGGCAUGCCUGGAAUGUGGUUCCAGAGUGUCUGUCAAGUGGUUUAGGCAUAUCCGGCAGGUGGUUCAGUCUUGUCCAGCAGGUGGUUCAGUUUUUCUGGUGGGUGGUUCUGGCAUGUCUGGUCAGUGGUACUGACGUGUCAUUGAGUUGGUUCCAGCAUGUCCGUAGGUGGUUAAGGCAUGUCCAGCACCUGGUUCAGGCAUAUCUGACUGGUGGUUCUGGCAUGCCCGGUAUGUGGUUUCAGAGUAUCCGUCAAGUGGUUCAGGGAUAUCUGGUAGGUGGUACAGUUUUGUCUGGCAGGUGGUUCUGGCAUGUCCAGCCAGUGGUACUCGCUUGUCAUUCAGGUGGUUCCAGCAUGUCAGGGAGGGGGUUACUGUGUGUCUGGCAUGAGUUUCUGGUAUGUCCAGAAUGUGGUUCCGAUGUGUCCAGUGGGUGCUUCCAGGGUGUCCGGCAGUUGGUUCCCACAUGUCCAGCAGGUGAUUCUGGCGUGUCCAGGACCUGAUUCUGUUGUGUUGGGUUGGUGGUUCCGGGAUGUCUGGCAGGUUUUUCUGGCCUGUCUGGAAGUUGGUUCUGGUGAGUCUGGGACCUGGUUCCGGAGUAUCCAACAGGUGAUUUAGGCCUGUCAGGCAGUUAGUUCUGGCAUGUCUGACAGGUGACUCUGUCUUGUCUGGCAGGUGGUUCUGGCAUGUCUGGCACCUGGUUCUGGCAUAUCUGACAGGUCCUUCCGGCAUGUCCGGGACAUGGUCCUGUCAUCUCCGGUGCAUGGUUCCAGAGUGUCUGGGUGGUUUUUCUGACGUUCUGGCAGUUGGUUCCAGUGUGCCAGGCAACCGGUUCAGGCAUUUCUAGUGGAUGGUACCGGUAUGUCUGGCAGCUAGUUCUGUCGUGUCCAACAGGUUGUUCAGGCGUGUCUGUCAGCUGGUCCACAUGCAUCCAGCACAUGUCCAGGCAUGGCCGUCCCAUGGUCCAGACAUUUCUGACCAUGGUUCUGAUGUGUCCAAAGUGUGGUUUGUGCAUGUCCAGCAUCUGAUUCAGGCCUCUCCGGGAGGUGUUUUGGGGGUGUCCAGAAGGUUGUCCAGGUAUGUCUAGUAAGUGUUUCUGGCGUGUCUGGCGUGUCCUUCAAGUAUGUCUGGCCUGUGGUUCUGGCAUGUCCAGAAGGUGGUUCCAGUGUGCCCAACACCUGGCUCUAGCGUGUUCAGCAGGUGCUUCCAGCAUGUCCAAUAAAUGGUUCUGGUGCGUCCUGAAGGUGGUGAUGGCAUGUCGGGAAGGGGGUUCAGGUUUGUUUGGCAGGUGGUUCAGUCAUUUCCAGCACUUGGUUCCAGCAUGUGCGAGAUCUGUUUGUGGAAUAUCCAGCAGGUGGCCCCAGUGUUUCCAGCAGGUGGUUCAUUAUGUCCAGCACCUGGUUUCAGUGUGUGUAACACCUGUUUCUGGCAUAGCCAGCUGGUUGUUCUGGUGAUUCUGGUAGGUGGUUCACGCAAGUCUGGCAGGUGGUUCAAGCAUGUUCAGCAGCUGUUCUAGCAUAUUGGUCACCUGGUUCUGCUGCUCCAGGCAUGUGGUUCCGGAAUGUCCAUAAAUUGGUUCAGGCUGGUCCAGCAGGUGGUUCAGGCUAGUCCGAAAGAGGCUCCAUGCUUGCCUGGCACCUGGUUCCAGCCUGUGCUGUUCCUGUUUCUGGAGUAUCCAGCAGAUGCUUCCGGCCUGUCCAGGAGGUGCUUCCGACGUGUUCGGCAGAUGGUUUCAGUGUAUCCAACAGGUGAUUUGGAUGUGUCCAGCAGGUGUUUCCGGAGUGUCUGGGACUUGGGUCUGGCAUAUUCGGCAGGUGGUUUCAGUGUAUCCAGCAGGUGGUUCUGGCAUAUCCAACAUGUGGUUCCAGUGUGUCUGGCAGAUGGUUCAUGCGUGUCUGGCAUGUGAUUCUGGUACGUUCAGAAGGUGGUUCUGGCCUGUCCAUUUGGUGCUUUCGGUGUGUCUUAGUGGUGGUUCUAGAGUGUCCAGUGGAUGGUUUCAGCAUGUCUGGUGGGUUGUUCUGGCGUAUAAGUGGCCUGGUUCCAGCAAGUCUAGCUGGUGGUUCUGGGAUGUCCUGCAGGUGGUUCAGUCUUGUCUGGCAGGUGGUUCAGUUUUGUCUGGCAGGUGGUUCCAGCAUGUCUGGCCAGUGGUACCAGCGUGUCAUUCAGGUGGUUCCAGCAUGUCAGGCAGGGAUUUCCUGUGUGUCUGGCAUGAGUUUCUGGUAUGUCCGGAAGGUGGUUCCCACGUGUCCAGUGGGUGCUUCUGGCAUGUCCGGCAGUUGGUUCUGCAUGUCCAGUGGGUGAUUCGGCAUGUCUGGGACCUGAUUCCAUCAUCUUGAGUUGGUGGUUUCGGCAUUUCCAGGUGGUGGUUCCAGCAUGUCCUGCAGGUAUUUCCGGCCUGUCCAGAAGAUAGUUCUGGCAUAUUCUGGACCUGCUUACCGCAUGUCCAGCGGGUGGUUCACGCAAGUCUGGCAGGUUGUUCAGGUGUGUCCAUCUGGUGGUUCUGGCUCGUCUGGCACCUGGGUCCAGCAUAUCUAACUGGUAGUGCUUGCAUGUCCAGCGAGUGAUUCUGGCAUGUCCAGCAGCUGGCUGCAGCAUGUGCAGGACCUGAUUCCGCCAUGUCAGGUUGGUGGUUUCGGCAUGUCUGGGUGGUGGUUCUGGCAUGUCUGGCAGGUUUUUCUGGGCUGUCUGGAAGUUGUUUCUGGUGUAUCCAGGCACCUGAUUCUGGCGUAUCUGGCAGGUGAUUUUGGUGUGUCAGGCAGGUUGUUCUGGUGUGUCUGGCAGGUGGUUCCGGCUUUUCUGGCAGGUCAUUCUGGCAUCUCUGGCACCUGGUUCUGCGUAUCCAGCAGGUGGUUUCAUGGUAUCUGGCACCUUGUUCCCCCGUAUCCAACAUGUGCUUCCGGCACGUCUGGCAGGUGAUUCCGGGGUGUCAGGCAGGUGGUUCUGGUGUGUCUGGCCGGUGGUUCAGCCAUGUUUGGCAGGUGGAUCAGUGCAGUCCAGCUGACACAUCAGUUAUCUCUGGCGGUUGGUUGCAGAAUAUCCGGGGGUGUUUCUGGCCUGUACAGAAGGUGGUCCCAUCAUGUUGGGCAGGUGAUUCUUGCGUGUCCGUCACAUGGAUCUGGCCUGUCCGGAAGGUGGUUCUUUUGUGUCCAUAAAGUCAUUCAGGCUGGUCCAUAAGGUGAUUCUGGUUUCUCUGGUAGGUGGUUCUGGUGUGUCUGGCACCUGGUUCUGGUGUAUCUGCCAGGUGGUUCCAUGGUGUAUGACACCUGUUUCAGUCGUAUCUGACAGGUGGAUCUGGCGUUUCUGGCAUGUGGAUCCGGGGUGUCAGGCAGGAGGUUCCAGUGUGUCCAGCUGGUGGUUCAGCCAUGUUUGGCGGGUGGAUCAGUGCAGUCCAGCAGGUGGAUCAGUCGUGUCUGGUGGUUGGUUGCAGCAUAUCUAGGGUGGUUCCAGCGUGUACAGAAGGUGGUUCCAUAGUGUCUGGCUGGUGGUUCUGGCAUGUCAGUCAAGUGGUUCUGGGGUGUCCGGAAGGUGGUUCCAUCGUGUCUGGCGGGUGAUUCUGCUAGCUCACACAGGUGGUUCCAGUGUGUCCAGCAGGUGCUUCCAGCGUUUCUAGGACCUGAUUCUGGCUUCUCCAGCAGCUGGUUCCAGAGUGUCUGGGUGGUAGUUCCAACAUGUCUGGCAGUUGGUUCCAGCAUGUCAGGCAAGUGGUUCAGGCGUUUCUGGUGGAUGGUUCUGGUGUGUCCAGUGGGUAGUUCCGGCGUGUCCGGCAUGUUGUUCAGGCAUGUCUGUCAGUUGGUCCAACUGCAUCCGGCAUAUGGUCCAGGCAUGGCACUUCUUUGGUCCAGAUAUUUCUGAAGCAUGAUUCUGACAUGUCUGAAAGGUGAUUUGGGUGUGUCUGGCAGCUGAUUCAGGCCUCUCUGGGCAGGGUUUGGGGGUGUCCGGCAGGUGGUACAGGUUGGUCUGGCAAGUGGUUCCAGUGUGUCCGGUGUGUCCUUCCAGUAUGUCUGGCCUGUGGUUCCAGCAUGUCCAGCAGGCAAUUCUGGUGUGUCCAGCACCUGGCUCUGGCAUGUUCAGCAGGUGAUUCUGGCAUGUCCAACAGAUGGCUCUGGUGAAUCCUGAAUGUGGUCACAGUGUGUCCAGCCAGUGGUUCAGUCGUGCCCAGCAGGUGGUUCAGGUUGGUCAGGCAGGUGGUUCAGUUGUGUUCAGCACCUGGUUCCAGCAUGUCCGAUACUGUUUUUGGUGUAUCAGGCAGGUGGUUCCAUCAUGUCCAGUAGAUGGUUCAUGCAAGUCUGGCAGGUGGCUCAGGCAUGUCCAGCAGGUGGUUCUGGCGUGUUGGGCACCUGGUUCCAGUGUGCCUGGCAUGUGGUUCCGGAAUGUCUGUAAAGUGGUUCAGGCUGGUCCAGCAGGUGGUUCAAGCUAGUCCGGCAGCUGCUUCAGGCUUGACUGGCACCUGGUUCCAGCCUGUGCUGGACGCAUUUCUGGUGUAUCUGGCAGAUGCUUCUGGCAUGUCCGGGAAUGGUUCCGGCAUGUCCAAGACAUGGUUUUGGCAUAUCUGACAGGUGAUUUGAAUGUGUCUGGCAGGUGUUUCCCCCGUGUCUGACACAUGGUUCUGGCACAUUCGGCAGGUUUGUUCAGUGUAUCUGGCAGCUGGUUCCAGCAUAUCCAACAAGUGGUUCCAGCAUGUCUGGUAGGUGGUUCCUGUGUGUCUGGCAUGUGGUUCUGGUACAUUUGGAAGGUGGUUCUAGUGUGUUUGGUGGGUGCUUCCAGUGUGUCCAGCAUUUGGUUCUGGCGUGUCUGAGUGGUGCUUCCAGAGCGUCCGGUGGCUGGUACUGGCAUGUCUGGUGGGUUGUUUAGGCAGAUAAGUGGCCUGGUUCCAGCAUAUCUGGCAGGUGAUGUCGGCGUAUCUGGCAGGUGGUUCAGCUUUGUCUGUCAGGUGGUUCCGGGAUGUCUUGCCAGUGGAACCACGUGUCAUUCAGGUAGUUCCAGUGUGUCUGGCAUGAGUCUCUGGUAUGUCUGCAAGGUGGCUCUGACGUGUCUGUUGGGUGCUUCCAGGGUGUCAGGCAGUUGGUUCCCACAUGUCCAGCGGGUCAUUAUGGUGUGUCCAGCAGUGGCUACGGUUUGUCCGGGAUCUGAUUCGGUCAUGUCAGGUUGGUCGUUUUGGCGUGUCCAGGUGGUGGUUCUGGCAUGUCUGGAAGGUUUUUCCAACCUGUCUGGAAAUUGGUUCUGGCAUAUCUGGGACCUGGUUCUGGCGUAUCUGGCAGGUGAUUUCAGCAUGUCCAGCAUGUGGUUCCAGCCUGUCUGGCAGGUGUUUCUGGCGUCUCCUGAAGGUGGUUCUAGUGUGUCCGAGACCUGGUUCUGGCAUAUCCAGCAGGUGAUUUCACUGUGUCCGGCAACUGGUUCUGCUGUAUACGACAGGUGCUUUAGCUUGUCUGGCAGGUGGUUUUGGAAUGUCAGGCAGGGGGUUCCUGUGUUUCUUGCAUGAGUUUCUGGUAUGUCCAUAAGGUUGUUCUGGCGUGUCAUCUGGGUGCUUCUGGCAUGUCUGGCAGUUGGUUCUCACAUUUCCAGCGGGUGAGUCUGGCAUGUCUGGCAGGUGGCUAUGGCGUGUCCGGGACCUGAUUCCGUCAGGACCUGUUGGUGGGUUUGAUGUGUACAGGUGGUGGUUCCAUCGUCUCUGGCAGGUGGUUCUGGCAUGUCAGUCAGUUGGUUCCGUCAUGUCCUGCAGGUGCUUCCAGCAUGUCCUGGACCUGAUUCUCGCAUCUCUGUUGGGUGGUUCCGGAGUGUCUGGAUGGUGGUUCCGACGUCUCUGGCAGUUGGUUCCAGUGUGUCAGACAGGUGGUUCACGCGUGUCCGGUGGGUGAUUCUGGCAUCUGCAACAGAUGGUUCUGGUGCGUUCAGAAGGUGGUUUCGGCAUGUCUGGCAGGUGGUUCAGGCAUCUCCAGCAGAUUGUUCACUCUUAUCCUGCAGGUCACUCAGUAGUGUGGGGCACCUGGUUCCGGUGUGUGCUGCAUCUAUUUCUGAUGUAUCUGGCAGGUGAUGCAGUUAUAUCUGGCAGAUGGUUCCAGAGUAUCAUGCAGGUGAUUUCGACGUGUCCGGUGGGUUGUUCCGGUGUGUCUGACACCUGGUUCUGGUGUAUCCGGCAGGUAGUUUCUGCGAAUGAGGCACCUUGUUCUGGCAUAUCCAACAGGUGGUUCCAGCAUGUCUGGUAGGCAGUUCCAGAGUGUCCAGCACAUGAUUCCAGUGUAUCCGGGAAGUAUUUUGACAUGUCCAGCAGGUGGUUUUAGCAUCUCCAGCACCUGGUUCUGUUGUAUCCAACAGUCGGUUAUGGAGUGUCUGGCAUGUGGUUCCGGUGUGUGUGGCUGGUGGUUCCAGUGUAUCAGUCACUUGGUUCUGGCAUGUCUUGGAGGUGGUUCAGUCAUGUCCAGUACCUGGUUUUGUGUGUGCAACACCUGUUUCUGGAGUAUCUGUCAGGUGGUUCUGGUGCAUCUGGCAGGCGGUUCAGGCAUGUCCAGCAGGUGGUUCUGGCAUGUCAGGCACCUGAUUCUGGCAUGUCCGGCAGGUGGUUCCGGACCAUCCAGCAGGAGGUUGCGCCGUGUCCCCUACCUGAUUCCAGGGUGUGUGGCAGGUGGUUCUGGUGUGUCUUAGUGGUGGUUCCAGAGUGUCUGGCGGGUGGUUCCAGCAUGUGUGGUGGCUUGUUCCGGCAUUUAAGGAGCUUGGUUCUGGGGUAUCCAGCAGGCAAUUUCGGCUUGUCUGGCAGGUGGUUCCAGCGAGCCAAGCAGGUGGUUCUGGUGAGUCAAGCAGUUGGCUCUGGCAUGUCCGGCAGAUGGCUCAUGCAUGUCCAGCAGGUGGUUCAGGCCUGUCUGGAAGGUGGUGCUGGCAUGUCUGGCACCAGGUUUGGGCAUAUCUGACAGGUGGUUCCGGCGUGUCCAGAAGGUGGUUCUGUUGUGUCCAGCGGGUGGUUCUGGCAUGCCCAGGACAUGGUUCCAUCGUGUGUGACAGUUGAUUCUGGUGUGUCCAGUGGGUAGUUCAGCUGUGUUUGGCAGGUGGAUAAGUGGUGUCUGGCUUGUGGAUCAAUCUGUCCUGCUUGUGGUUACUGUGUGUCUGCGGCAUGGUUCCUGCAUGUCAGAAAGGUGGUUCUGUUGUCUCAGGAAACUGGUUCUGGCAUGUCCAUCAGGUGGUUCUGGCAUGUCUGGUGGGUUGUUCAGGCAUGCCCGUCAGCUGGUGCAGGUGCUUCCAGCACCUGGUACAGGCAUAGCCGUCCCGUGGUCCAGGCAUUUCUGAAACGUGUUUCUGACAUGUCAGAAUGGUGGUUUGGGUGUGUCCAGAGGGGGUUCGGGCAUGUCUGGCAGGUUCUUCGGGCGUUUGCAGCAGGUGGUCCAGGUGUAUCGGGUGGGUGGCUCCAGCGUGUCUGUCACGACCUUCCUGCAUAUCUGGUCUGUGGAUCUGGCUUGUCUGGCUGGUGGUUAAGGGUUGUCCAGCGGGUGGUUCCAUCGUGUCCAGCGGGUGGUUCUGGCGAGCCCAGCAUCUGGUUCUGGCAUAUGUGGCAGGUGGAUCCUGCAUGCCAGGCAGGUGGUUCUGGAUUGUCCCUCCAGUGUUUAAGGCAUACCCAGCAGGAGGUUCCGUCUUGUCCAGCAGGUGGUUCCAGCGUGUCCAGCAUGUGGCUAGAACGAGACCGGAAGGUGGUUCUGUCAUGUCCACUGGGCAGUUCUGGAAUUACCAGUGGAUCAUUUCGUUAUGUCCGGCAGAUAUUUCUGACAUGUCCAGCAGAUUGUUGAGGUGUGUCCGUUAGGUAGGCCAGGUGCACCUGGCAUGUGUUCCAGGCAUGGCCAUCCAAUGGUCCAGGCAUUUCUGAAACGUCAUUCUGACAUGUCCAAAAGGUGAUUUGGGUGUGUCAGGUGGGUGGUUCAGGAGUGUCCAGCACCUGGUUCUGGUGUACCUGACAGGUGGUUCUGGCGUCCGGCACCUGAUUCCAGCCUAUCCAGCAUGUGGUUUCAGAGUAUCAGGCACCAGGUUCCGGUGUGUGCUGCAACUGUUUCUAGUAUAUCCAGCAGGUGGUUCCGGGAUGUACGACAGCUGAUUCUGGCGUGUCUGGAACAUGGUUUGGGCAUAUCUGGCCGCUAACUUUGAAGUGUCAGCCAGGUGGUUCUGGUGUUUCCAGCAUCUGGUUCCACCGUAUCCAGCAUGUAGUUUCAGUGAAUCAAGCACCUGGUUCCAGCAUAUCUGACAGGUGUUUCCAGCAUGACUGAAAUGUGGUUCUGGCGUGUCCGGCAUGUAGUUCUGAUGUGUCAUUCAGGUGGCUCUGGCAUGUUCGGCAGGUGGUUCUGGCGGGUCCUGCAGGUGGCUCCAGCGUGUCUAGUGGGUGGAUGAAGUGUGUCUGCCUCGUGAUUGAGACAUGUAUGGCAAGUUGUUCAGUCUGGUCUGGGAGCUUUUUCAGGCUUGUCUGGCAGCUGGUUCUGGUGUUCCUGCCACCUAGUUCCAGUUAUAUGGGCAGGUGGUGCCAGCGUACCCUACAGGUGGUUCCUGCAUGUCUGGUGUGUGAUUUCUGCGUGUCAUUCAGGUGGUUCUGGCGUGUCAGUCAGGUGGUUCUGGCAUGUCCAGAACGUGCUUUCAUCAUGUCCAGCGAGUGGUUCCAGCGUGUCUGAGGAGUGGUUCUGGCAUAUCCAGAAUGAGGUUCUGUUGUUCGACAGGUGGCUCCGGUGUGUCAGGCAUGUGGUUCCGUCGUGUCUAGAAGGUGGUUCAGGUGUGUCCAGCAGGUGGUUCAAGUCUUUCCAGAAGGUGGUUCUGGCGUGUCCAUCACCUGGUUUGGACAUAUUUGACAGGUGGUUCUGGCGUGCCCAGCAUGUGUUUCAGAAGUGUCCGUCAAGUGGUUCAGACAUAUCCGACAGGUGGUUCAGUUUUAUCUGGCAGGUGGUUCCAGGAUGUCCGGCCACUGGUACCGGUGUGUCAUUCAGGUGGUUCCAGAAUGUCAGGUAGGGUGUUCCUGUGUGUCUGGCAUGAGUUUCCAGUAUGUCCACAAGGUGGUUCCAACAUGUCCAGUGGGUGCUUCCAGGGUGUCUGGCAGUUGGUUCCCGCAUGUCCAGUGGGUGAUUCCAGCAUGUCUGGCAGGUGGCUAUGGCAUGUCCGGGACCUGAUUCCAUUGUGUCAGGUUGGUGGUUUCAGCCUGUACGGGAGGGUGUUCUGGUGUGUCUGGCAUGUUUUUCCAGCCUGCCCAGAAGUUGGUUCUGGCAUAUCCAGGACCUGAUUCUGGUGUAUCUGGCAGGUCAUUUUGGUGUGUCCGGCAUGUUGUUCCAGUGUGCCUGGCAGCUGAUUCUGGCUUUUCUGGCAGGUGGUUCUGGGGUGUCCAGCACCUGGUUCUGUGUAUCCUGCAGGUGCUUUCACGGUAUCUGGCACCUGGUUCUCCUGUAUCUGACAGCUGGUUUGGGCAUGUCUGGCAGGUGAUUCCAGCGUGUCAGGCAGUUGGUUCUGGUGUGUCUGGCUGGUGGUUCAGCCAUGUUUGGCAGGUGGAUCAGUGCAGUCCAGCAGGUGGAACAGUCUUCUACGGUGGUUGGUUGCAGGAUAUCCAGGGGUCGUUCCAGCCUGUCCAGAUGCUGUUUCUGUCAUGUCCAACUGGUGAUUCCCUCGUGUCUGUCACAUGGCUCCUGCAUGUCUGGAAGGUGGUUCUGUCAUGUCCAUAAAGUGGUUCAGGCUGGCCCAGAAGCUGGUCAGUUCUGACUUCUGUUGCAGGUGGUUCUGGCAUGUCUGACACCUGGUUUUGGCAUAUCUGCUGGGUGGUUUCACGGUGUCUGGCACCUGGUUCAACCGUAUCCGACAGCUGGUUCUGGCAUUUCUGCAGGUGGAUCUGGGGUGUCAGGCAGGUGGUUCUGGCAUGUCUGGGCAGUGGUUCAGCCGAGUUUGGAGAGUGGACCAGUGCUAUCCUGCUGGUGGAUCAGUCAUGUCUGGUGGUUGGUUGCAGCAUAUCUGGGGUGGUUCCAUUUUGUCUGGCAGGUGGUUCCAGCAUGUCAGUCAGGUGGUUCCAGUGUGUGCAGCAGGUGGUUCACGCAAGUCUGGCAGGUGGUUCAGGCCUGUCUGGAGGUGGUUCUGGUGUGUCUGGCACCUUGUUUUGGUGUGCCUGGCAUGUGGUUCCAGGAUUCUGUAUAGUGUUUCAGGUUGCUCCAGCAGGUGUUUCAGGCUUAUCCAGCAGCUGCCUCAGGCAUGUCUGGCACCUGGUUCUGGCCUGUGAUGGACCUGUUUCUGGUGUAUCCAGCAGAUGGUUCUGGCAUGCCUGGGAGGUGGUUCCAGCAUGCCUGGCACAUGGUUUUGGCAUAUCCAACAGGUGAUUUGGAUGCAUCUGGCAAUUGUUUCUGGUGUGUCCAGCACCAGGUUCUGGCAUUUUUGGCAGGUGGUUUUAGUGUAUCUGGCACCUGUUUAUGGGGUAUCCAACAGGUGGUUCCAGAGUGUCUGGCAAGUCAUUUCUGUGUGUCUGGUAUGGGUUCAGGUACAUUCAGAAGGUGGUUCAGUUGUGUGCGGUGUUUGCUUCCAGCAUUUAAGGCAGUUGGUUCGUGAGUGUCUGGUGGUUGAUUCCUAUGUGUCCAGCAGGUGGUCCCAGAGUGUUUGACAGGUGAUUGCAACAUGUCCCGGACCUGAUUCCAGCAUGUGUGGAACAUUGUUCUGGCAUGUCUGAUUGGUGCUUCCCUUAUUUCUGGCAGUUGGUUCUGGAAUGUCUGGUGGGUGGUUCUGGCAUAUAAGGAGGCUGAUUCUGGCAUAUCCAGCAGGCAAUUUCGGCAUGUCUCACAGGUUGUUCCGGUGAGUGAAGUAGGUGUUUCUGGGGAGUCAAUCAGGUGCUUCCAGCAUGUUGGGCAGGUGGUUCAGGUGUGUCAUGUGGGUGUUUCAGGCCUGUCUAUAUGGUGUUUCUGGCAUGUCCAGUAGUUGGUUCCAGCGUGUCAGGCAGGUGGUUCUGGCAUUUCCAGUGGAUGGUUCUGGUAUGUCCAUUGUGUAGUUCCAGCAUGUCUGGAUGAUUGUUCAGAUGUGUCUGUCAGUUGGUCCAGCUGCAUCUGGUACAUAGUCCAGGCAUGGCUGUCCUGUGGUCUAGUCAUUUCUGAAACAUGGAUCUGGCAUGUCCAACACGUGGAUUGGCAUGUCCAGGCCCUGAUUCAGGCCUCUCCAGGAGGUGCUUUGGGGGUGUCCAGCAGGUGGUCCAGGUGUGUCUGGCAAUAUGUUCUGGCAUGCCUGGGGUGUCAUACCAGUAUGUCUGGCCUGUGGUUCUGGCAUUUCCAGCAGGCAGUUCCAGCGUAUCCAACACCUGGCUCCAGUGUGUUCAGCAUUUGGUUCUGCAUGUCCACCAGAGGGUUCCAGCAUGUCCUGAAGGUGGUUACAGCAUGUCCGGCAGGUGGUUCAGUCACGUCCAGCAGGCAGUUCAAGCUUCUCUGGCAGGUGUUUCAGUUCUGUCCAGCACCUGGUUCCAGCGUGUGUGACACCUGUUUCUGGCAUAUCAGGCUGGUGGCUCCAUCAUGUCUGGCAAGUGGUUCACAGAAUUCUGGCAGGUGGUUCAGGCAUGUCCAGCAGGUGGGACUGGCGUGUCGGGCAUCUGGUUCCAGCGUGCCAGGCAUGUGGCUCUGGAAUGUCAGACUAAAUGUUGGACAUGCCAGAACCACCUUCUGCACAUGCCUGAACCACCUGCCGGACACACUGCAACCACCUGCUUGACUCGCUAGAACCCCCUGAUGGAGAUGCUGAAAUCACCUGACUGAUGCACCAGAACCACUGGUCGGAUAUGGCAGAACCAGGUGCUGGACACUAUGAAACCAUCUACCGGAUACUCCAGAACAAGGUGCCGGACACGCCAGAACCACCUGCCAUACAUGACGGAAUCACAUACCAGACAAAACUGAACCACCUGCCAGACAAGACUGAACCACCUGCCGAAUACAUGUGAACCACUUGAUGGACACUCUGGAACCAUAUGCCAGGCACACCGGUACCACCUGUCAGAUAUGCCAGAACCAGGUGCCAGACUUACUGCAACCACCUGCUUGACUUGCCAGAACACCUGAUGGACAUGCCAAAAUUACCUGCUGGAUACACCAGAACCAGGUCCUGCAUACCUGAUGAAAGGGCGGAAAAAGCUGCCGGACACACCAGAACUGCCACCCAGCCACGCAAAAACCACCAACCUGACAGGACAGAAUCACGUCCCGGACACACCAGAAUCACCCCCCAGACAUGCAGGAACCAACUGCCGGAAACCCCAGAAGCACCCACAGGACAUGUCAGAACCAUCUUCCGGAUGUACCAGAAACUCAUGCCAGACACACAAGAACCCCCUGCCUGACACGCUGGAACCACCUGAAUGACACAUCGGUACCACUGGCAGGACAUGCCAGUAUCACCUCCCAGACAAAGCUGAACCACCUGCCAGAAAAGACUGAACCACCUGCUGGAUAUGCGUGAACCACUUGACAGACAAUCUGGAGCCACAUGCAAGGCAUGCCAGAACCACAUGUCAGUUAUUCCAGAACCAGGUGCUGGACACACCUAAACCACCUUCUGGACAUGCCUGAACCACCUGCCAGACAGGCCGAUACCACCUGUUUGACUCCCUGGAACCACCUGCUUGACACAUCAAAAUCACCAUCCAGAUAUGUCGGAACCAGGCCCCUUAAACACCAGAACAAUAUGACAGAUGUGCCAGAACUACUUGCUGGACACACUGCAACCACCACUCUGACAUGCCAGAACCACCCACUGAUAUGCUGGAACCAACUGCCAGACAUGCUGGAAGCACCCACUGGACAUGCUGGAAUGAUCUUCCGAAUGUAACAGAACCACAUGCCAGACACAACUGAACCACCUGCCAGACAUGCCAGAACCACCUUUUGGAUAUGGAGAACCAGGUGGCUGAUACACUGAAACUACAUGCUGAAUAUGCCAGAACCAGGUGCUGGACACAUGGACACCACCUUCAGGACAGGCCUGAAACACCUGCCAGACACGCC